GUGGGAGGGGGCUUGCCCCCGAUUGAUGUCUAUCAGCUACAAGGAUGUUGGCUGAGAGUCUGCAAUCGGGGGCAAGCCCCCUCCCAC
rnacentral:misc_RNA from 1 species